rnacentral:rRNA from 1 species
GGCUUGUUGAUUAUAAUUUCAAGUCUGACCUGCCCAAUGAAGAUUUAAAUGGCUGCGGUAUAUUGACCGUACAAAGGUAGCAUAAUCAUUAGUUUUUUAAUUGAAAGCUAGAAUGAAAGGUUUGAUGAAAAAGUUUCUGUCUCUUUUGAAAUUUUAUAGAAUUUUAUUUUUAAGUUAAAAAGCUUAAAUUUUUAUUGAAGACGAGAAGACCCUAUAGAGUUUUAUAAUUUUUUAAUAAGUUGGUUUUUAGUAUUAUAGGUUGAUUUAUUACAAAAUUAUUUAAUUGGGGUGAUGAAAAAAUUUAUAAAACUUUUUUUUUAUUAAAACAUUAAUUUAUGAGUUGAGGAUCCUUAAAAAGAUUAUAAGAUUAAAUUACCUUAGGGAUAACAGCGUAAUUUUUCAUAGAGUUCUUAUCGAAUGAAAAGAUUGCGACCUCGAUGUUGGAUUAAAAUAAAUUUCUAGUGAAGAAGCUAGAAUAUUAGGUCUGUUCGACCUUUAAAAUUUUACAUGAUCUGAGUUUAAACCGGUGUAAG